rnacentral:rRNA from 1 species
ACAUGCAGUCGAACGGGCCGAUUUAUUUGAAACCUUCGGGUUGAUAAUGAUGAGGUUAGUGGCGGAUGGGUGAGUAACGCGUGGGCAACCUACCCUGUACAGGGGGAUAACAAUGGGAAACCAUUGCUAAUACCCCAUGAUACCUUUUAAGGGCAUCCUUAAAAGGUCAAAGAAUUUCGGUAUAGGAUGGGCCCGCGUCUGAUUAGCUAGUUGGUAGGGUAAUGGCCUACCAAAGCAACGAUCAGUAGCCGGCCUGAGAGGGUGAACGGCCACACUGGAACUGAGACACGGUCCAGACUCCUACGGGAGGCAGCAGUGGGGAAUAUUGCACAAUGGGGGAAACCCUGAUGCAGCAACGCCGCGUGAGCGAUGAAGGCUUUCGAGUCGUAAAGCUCUGUCCUAAGGGAAGAUAAUGACGGUACCUUAGGAGGAAGCCCCGGCUAACUACGUGCCAGCAGCCGCGGUAAUACGUAGGGGGCAAGCGUUAUCCGGAAUUAUUGGGCGUAAAGGGUGCGUAGGCGGCCUUAUGGGUCAGAGGUUAAAUACUACGGCUUAACCGUAGUAUGCCUUUGAAACUAUAGGGCUUGAGUGCAGGAGAGGAGAGUGGAAUUCCUAGUGU